GCCAGAGUUGAGUUUCUGACAACACACUGAACCUACAGAAAGACAUUACACUAUGAGUGAAAAAAAACAGGCACAACAGUUUAAAGGUGGCAUUAGCAAGUGGACACUCAAUUACAGAAGAGGUCACUGGAGACCCUCCAAGCCAUAGUUUAGAUAAGGACAUACUUUGGCAGUGACAGGCAACAGAGCAUUCAUGUUUGGAAGCUGUUCCAUUGAUAACACCUUUGAUGAUCAGCCAGCAUAUUUCAAUGGCUUCUACAUGUUGACAAGUGAGAUAUUAUUAAUCUUUUCUAGCUGGCAAAGUACUCACAGAUUUAUUUCUCCCUCUGGAUUUGCACAUAUUUCACAAUAAUAGGACAGUCAUUCGUGCUGUAUAUGAAGUGUUAUCGCCACAGAAUUAGUGAAGUGUUGCUGAGAGCAAGAUUGAGAUGGUUUAACAACCAUUUAAAAAUUACAAAAUCUUUUAUAUUCUGCUGUUUCAUGUGUAUAUAGAAAUAAAAGCGGUGUAAUUAUAAUUCCCUGUGGUUUU
rnacentral:lncRNA from 1 species